rnacentral:rRNA from 1 species
GAACUGAAGAGUUUGAUCCUGGCUCAGAUUGAACGCUGGCGGCAUGCCUUACACAUGCAAGUCGAACGGCAGCAUGAUCUAGCUUGCUAGAUUGAUGGCGAGUGGCGAACGGGUGAGUAAUACAUCGGAACGUGCCCUGUAGUGGGGGAUAACUAGUCGAAAGAUUAGCUAAUACCGCAUACGACCUGAGGGUGAAAGUGGGGGACCGCAAGGCCUCAUGCUAUAGGAGCGGCCGAUGUCUGAUUAGCUAGUUGGUGAGGUAAAGGCUCACCAAGGCGACGAUCAGUAGCUGGUCUGAGAGGACGAUCAGCCACACUGGGACUGAGACACGGCCCAGACUCCUACGGGAGGCAGCAGUGGGGAAUUUUGGACAAUGGGCGAAAGCCUGAUCCAGCAAUGCCGCGUGUGUGAAGAAGGCCUUCGGGUUGUAAAGCACUUUUGUCCGGAAAGAAAUGGCUCUGGUUAAUACCUGGGGUCGAUGACGGUACCGGAAGAAUAAGGACCGGCUAACUACGUGCCAGCAGCCGCGGUAAUACGUAGGGUCCAAGCGUUAAUCGGAAUUACUGGGCGUAAAGCGUGCGCAGGCGGUUGUGCAAGACCGAUGUGAAAUCCCCGAGCUUAACUUGGGAAUUGCAUUGGUGACUGCACGGCUAGAGUGUGUCAGAGGGGGGUAGAAUUCCACGUGUAGCAGUGAAAUGCGUAGAGAUGUGGAGGAAUACCGAUGGCGAAGGCAGCCCCCUGGGAUAACACUGACGCUCAUGCACGAAAGCGUGGGGAGCAAACAGGA